GACGAACGCUGGCGGCGUGCCUAAUACAUGCAAGUCGAGCGAAGGGGCGGGUGGGUGAGUAACGCGUGGGUAACCUGCCCUUGAGGCAGGGAUACCAUUUGGAAACAGAUGCUACUACCGGAUACUGAAGGAUGGACCGGCGAUGCAUUAGCUAGUGGGUAAGGUAACGGCUUACAAAGGCGAGGAUGCAUAGCCGAGUUGAGAGGCUGAUCGGCCACAUGGGGACUGAGACACGGCCCAAACUCCUACGGGAGGCAGCAGUAGGGAAUCUUCGACAAUGGACGAAAGUCUGAGGGAGCAACGCCGCGUGAGUGAAGAAGGUUUUCGGAUCGUAAAGCUCUGUUGUUGGUGAAGCGGUAAUCAACCAGAAAGUCACGGCUAACUACGUGCCAGCAGCCGCGGUAAUUC
rnacentral:rRNA from 1 species